rnacentral:lncRNA from 1 species
CCUAGAGAUAUGUAGCCUGCCUCCCCCAUUUAAUAGAAAAGAAAAGAAGUUGUAGAAUUCAGAGAUGAUAGACUACUGCCUUCCAGCCCUGUAAAAAUAGUGACUUCUGGAGUAACACUGAUCACACCAAAGGAGAAAGUGAUCAGUUUAGUUCUGCCCAUAAUUUGUAACUGAUUCUAUCAAGACAUAAUUCACACUUAAUUUUUUUCCACCUCCAAAAUUAGUGCUUGUCCUUAGGUAGAAAAAUUAGCUUGCAGAUGCAGAAAAGAUGCAGAGUUAAAAUUAUACAGUUGCUCUUAGAAGUCCUUCUCUGAGGUGCAAGAUGGUUCUCUCUUCCGUGUUCUUCUAGAAGCACUGUGGCUUCCUUUGAACAUCACCACAAUCUUCUGUGGAGCAACUUGCAGGUCUUUAGGGUCUGAGAACUGAUGCUAGUGAUCACAGGAGGCAGAUGCAGCUGCACAUGGCCAUCAUUAAUGCUGUUUCCUCAUUUUCUUCUUUCCCUCCCCCUAGGCUUAUGGUGGACUUCCUUGGUGGCUCAGCGAUAAAGAAUCUGCCUGCUAAUGUGUGAGACAUGGGUUCAAUCCCUGGGUCAGGAAGAUUCCCUAGAGAAGGAAAUGGCAACCCACUCCAGUAUUCUUGCCUGGAAAGUUCCAUGGACAGGAGCAAGCUACAGUCUAUCGGGUCACAGAGAGAUGGACACGACUUGGCGACUGCACAACACCGACAAGGCAUAUGAAAAGAAGAACGAAAGCAGAAUCAAGAUUCAGAUUCACGUAGACCAGUGGUCGUAACAGGUAUAUGUUGAUGCCUCCGUGAAAAAGAAGAGACAGGAAAAAUCAAAGAAGUGACAUAAAGUUCUUUUCUUGAAAAAUAACAAGAAAAAAGGCAAAACCAAUGGUACAUUUCUGUAAGAUACAUUUCGGGAAGAAGGAAAAUGAUCUCAUGAGAAAUGUCUGUGAGAAGAAAUCAUGCAAGAAGAAAUGCAGCACAAAGAAAGUAGUUAAAAUGAGUGAAAAUGUAAACACCAUAGACUCUAUUGAUCAUGUCCAGUUUUUAGUGUUUAAAGAAAACAAAUGAAACCUACAUUUUGUGGAAGACCAAGCAAGCUGGGAACGGAAUGAGCAGAUUUAAAACAUUGUAAAGCUCUUUAAUGAUUUGGAAGAAAGAUAACAUGCUAAUAUACUCUGAACUGUUUUCAGUUACAUGUCUAUAAUGAUUUAAAGAAUACCAAUUCAAAAGUAUAGAAAUUAACUGUAAAACUUCAUGGAAAAGUAAAAUGAGAAGUUAAAAACAAACAAAGGCCUCUACUAGUCUGAAAAGAGGAAAAUAAAUUAAAUAAAAAAACAAAAAACA